GUGGGGAAUUUUGGACAAUGGGCGCAAGCCUGAUCCAGCAAUGCCGCGUGCAGGAAGAAGGCCUUCGGGUUGUAAACUGCUUUUGUACGGAACGAAACGGUCCGGGUUAAUACCCUGGGCUAAUGACGGUACCGUAAGAAUAAGCACCGGCUAACUACGUGCCAGCAGCCGCGGUAAUACGUAGGGUGCAAGCGUUAAUCGGAAUUACUGGGCGUAAAGCGUGCGCAGGCGGUUUUGUAAGACAGGCGUGAAAUCCCCGGGCUCAACCUGGGAAUUGCGCUUGUGACUGCAAGGCUGGAGUGCGGCAGAGGGGGAUGGAAUUCCGCGUGUAGUAGUGAAAUGCGUAGAUAUGCGGAGGAACACCGAUGGCGAAGGCAAUCCCCUGGGCCUGCACUGACGCUCAUGCACGAAAGCGUGGGGAGCAAACAGGAUUAGAUACCCUUGUAGUCC
rnacentral:rRNA from 1 species